ensembl:lncRNA MIR646HG MIR646 host gene
UACCCGCGGGAAAGCCGAGGCCCGGUGCUGUAUUCUGCCGCCCAUUUUACCCGCGGGGAAGCUGAGGCCCAGUGCUGUUUAAUAUCUUACUCAUGUUCACUUGAUGAGAAAGUGACAGAUCUGAGACAAACCCAGAUCGACAGAAAAGAAAUGAGUCAACGAUGGUGCAGGUGAUCUGUGCAGUGCUGUGCAGGGGAUGGGUCAAAGCUGUGAUGCUGGCAUGCAACUAACUCACCAUUGUGAGCCAAUCACAAAAGCAGAAACUUGGCCAAGCUGAAAGGGACCAGCUUGACGAAGCUUCUGCUUUUGUGACUGUCUCCUAAUGCAGAAACCAGAGCACCUCAGAAGAUCAAGGCUUCCAAAUUCUCCUGGGGGAACAGACGUCAGCCAUUCAGCACAAAGGAAACUUCCUUCUCUGUAUGUCAGAGGAAGACAUAAUUGUGCCAUUUCCUUCUUGAAGAAGUUUACAAACAUUUGCAAGUUGUCAAAAAUAAUUAGUCUAAAAUUGUUUCAUAAACCGUGGAAUGAAACAGGACGUGCCUUGUUGAGAUCAAAGGGCUUCUGUUACCUUCUUGUAAACUCAAAUGAAAUUCUUUUGAAAGUAAA